CUCCUACGGGAGGCAGCAGUGGGGAAUUUUGCACAAUGGGCGAAAGCCUGAUGCAGCAACGCCGCGUGUGUGAUGAAGGUCUUCGGAUCGUAAAGCACUUUCGACCGGGACGAACAACCUCUGGGUAAUUCCCAGGGGCCUGACGGUACCGGGAGAAGAAGCACCGGCUAACUCUGUGCCAGCAGCCGCGGUAAUACAGAGGGUGCAAGCGUUGUUCGGAAUUAUUGGGCGUAAAGCGCGUGUAGGCGGCUUGUUAAGUCGGGUGUGAAAGCCCUCAGCUCAACUGAGGAAGGGCGCCCGAAACUGGCGAGCUUGAGUGUCGGAGAGGAUGGCGGAAUACCCCAAGUAGAGGUGAAAUUCGUAGAUAUGGGGUGGAACACCGGUGGCGAAGGCGGCCAUCUGGACGACAACUGACGCUGAGACGCGAAAGCGUGGGUAGCAAACAGGAUUAGAUACCCCGGUAGUCCUGGCAGUAAACGGUGCACGUUUGGUGUGGGAGGAUUCGACCCCUUCCGCGCCGGAGCUAACGCGUUAAACGUGCCGCCUGGGGAGUACGGUCGCAAGAUUAAAACUCAAAGAAAUUGACGGGGGCCCGCACAAGCGGUGGAGUAUGUGGCUUAAUUCGAUGCAACGCGAAGAACCUUACCAGGCCUUGACAUGCAUUUCUAAGCGGGUGAAAGCCCGUGAGUCCCGAAAGGGACAACUUGCACAGGUGCUGCAUGGCUGUCGUCAGCUCGUGUCGUGAGAUGUUGG
rnacentral:rRNA from 1 species